rnacentral:rRNA from 1 species
AAGAGCAAACCCGGGGAACUGAAACAUCUAAGUACCCGGAGGAAAGGAAAUCAAUUGAUACUCCCCUAGUAGCGGCGAGCGAACGGGGACCAGCCGAGCCUUGAGCGUGACUAGAAUGUGCUGGAAAGCACAGCCAUAGCGGGUGACAGCCCCGUAUAGGAAGCGUGAUGGGACGUAUUAAGUAGGGCGGGACACGUGAAAUCCUGUCUGAAGAUCGGAGGACCACCUUCGAAGGCUAAGUACUCCUUACUGACCGAUAGUGAACCAGUACCGUGAGGGAAAGGUGAAAAGCACCUCUAGAAGAGGAGUGAAAAAGUACCUGAAACCCCGUGUCUACAAGCGGUCGAAGCUCUUCGGAGCGACGGCGUGCCUUUUGCAUAAUGAGCUGGCUAGUUAAUUUCUGGAGCAAGGUUAAGGGAUAUCGGAGCCGAAGCGAAAGCGAGUCUGAAUAGGGCGCAUGAGUUAGAUGGAUCAGACCCGAAACCGAGUGAUCUAGGCAUGGCCAGGUUGAAGGUUGGGUAACACCAACUGGAGGACCGAACCCACAUCCGUUGAAAAGGAUCGGGAUGAGCUGUGCCUAGGGGUGAAAGGCCAAUCAAACUGGGAAAUAGCUCGUACUCCCCGAAAUGCAUUUAGGUGCAGCGUUCAGGUAGAGUAUUAUAGAGGUAGAGCUACUGAUAGGGCUAGGGGGCUUCACCGCCUACCAAACCCUGACAAACUCCGAAUGCUAUAAUAUAUACUGAGCAGUGAGGGCAUGGGUGCUAAGGUCCAUGUCCGAGAGGGAAAGAACCCAGAUCAUCAGCUAAGGCCCCCAAAUGUAUGUUAAGUUGAUCAAACGUUGUGCGAUUGCAUAGACAGCUAGGAUGUUGGCUUGGAAGCAGCCAUUCAUUUAAAGAGUGCGUAACAGCUCACUAGUCGAGCGAUCGUGCGUGGAUAAUAAUCGGGCAUUAAACAUACUGCCGAAGCUAUGACAUCGAAAGAUGGGUAGGGGAGCAUUCUAUAUGCGUUGAAUGUGAGGGGUGACCUUCGCUGGAGCGUAUAGAAAAGCAAAUGUAGGAAUAAGUAACGAUAAAGCAGGCGAGAAACCUGCUCACCAAUAGACUAAGGUUUCCUUGGCGACGCUAAUCGUCCAAGGGUUAGUCGGGACCUAACGCGAACCCGAGAGGGGUAGUGGAUGGAUAAUGGGUUAAUAUUCCCAUACUUGGUAUAACUGCGAUGGGGUGACGGAGUGAUGAAAGAACCGCGUACUGACGGAAUAGUACGUUAAAGGGUGUAGAUAUUGGGACUGUAGGCAAAUCCGCAGACCUAGUCGAACCUGAUAGUACCACAAAGCUUCGGCUGCGUGGAUAGUGUUCCUAAGCGCUUCCAAGAAAAACCUCUAAGCUUCAGGUUAUACCAACUCGUACCGCAAACCAACACAGGUAGUCAAGUAGAGAAUACUGAGGUGCUCGAGUGAUUCAUGGCUAAGGAACUAGGCAAAAUGGUCUCGUAACUUCGGGAGAAGAGACGCCAACUUCGGUUGGCCGCAGUGAAUAGGCCCAGGCGACUGUUUAUCAAAAACACAUGGCUUUGCAAAAUCGAAAGAUGAAGUAUAAGGCCUGACACCUGCCCGGUGCCGGAAGGUUAAGUGGAGAUGUUAGCUUCGGCGACGCAUUCAAAUGAAGCCCCGGUAAACGGCGGCCGUAACUAUAACGGUCCUAAGGUAGCGAAAUUCCUUGUCGGGUAAGUUCCGACCUGCACGAAUGGCGUAACGACUUCCCCGCUGUCUCCAACAUCGACUCAGCGAAAUUGAAUUGCCUGUCAAGAUGCAGGCUUCCCGCGGUUAGACGGAAAGACCCCGUGCACCUUUACUACAGCUUCGCACUGGCAUCAGGAUUGUGAUGUGCAGGAUAGGUGGUAGGCUUUGAAGCGGUGACGCCAGUCAUCGUGGAGCCUCCCUUGAGAUACCACCCUUCGCACUCUUGAUGUCUAACCGCGGUCCGUUAUCCGGAUCCGGGACCCUGCGUGGCGGGUAGUUUGACUGGGGCGGUCGCCUCCCAAAGAGUAACGGAGGCGCGCGAAGGUUGGCUCAGAGCGGUCGGAAAUCGCUCGUUGAGUGCAAUGGCAGAAGCCAGCCUGACUGCAAGACUGACAAGUCGAGCAGAGUCGAAAGACGGCCAUAGUGAUCCGGUGGUCCCGAGUGGAAGGGCCAUCGCUCAACGGAUAAAAGGUACGCCGGGGAUAACAGGCUGAUACUGCCCAAGAGUCCAUAUCGACGGCAGUGUUUGGCACCUCGAUGUCGGCUCAUCAUAUCCUGGUUGAGAAUAAUCUUCCAAGGGUCGGUCUGUUCUACCGUUAAAAUGGUACGUGAGCUGGGUUUAGAACGUCGUGAGACAGUUCGGUCCCUAUCUGCCGUGGGUGUAGGAUACUUGAGAGGAGUUGCCCCUAGUACGAGAGGACCGGGGUGAACGAUCCACUGGUGGACCUGUUGUGGCGCCAGCCGCAGUGCAGGGUAGCUAUGAUCGGAAAGGAUAACCGCUGAAGGCAUCUAAGCGGGAAGCCCCCCUCAAAACAAGGUAUCCCUGAGGGCCGUGGUAGACCACCACGUCGAUAGGCCGGAGGUGUAAGCGCAGCAAUGCGUUCAGCUGACCGGUACUAAUGGCCC